rnacentral:piRNA from 1 species
GCAAUGUGGAAGUGUAAGCCAUUGU